GACGAACGCUGGCGGCGUGCCUAAUACAUGCAAGUAGAACGCUGAAGGAGGAGCUUGCUUCUCUGGAUGAGUUGCGAACGGGUGAGUAACGCGUAGGUAACCUGCCUGGUAGCGGGGGAUAACUAUUGGAAACGAUAGCUAAUACCGCAUAAGAGUAGAUGUUGCAUGACAUUUGCUUAAAAGGUGCAAUUGCAUCACUACCAGAUGGACCUGCGUUGUAUUAGCUAGUUGGUGAUGUAACGGCUCACCAAGGCAACGAUACAUAGCCGACCUGAGAGGGUGAUCGGCCACACUGGGACUGAGACACGGCCCAGACUCCUACGGGAGGCAGCAGUAGGGAAUCUUCGGCAAUGGACGGAAGUCUGACCGAGCAACGCCGCGUGAGUGAAGAAGGUUUUCGGAUCGUAAAGCUCUGUUGUAAGAGAAGAACGAGUGUGAGAGUGGAAAGUUCACACUGUGACGGUAUCUUACCAGAAAGGGACGGCUAACUACGUG
rnacentral:rRNA from 1 species